CUUGUUAUAGCCAAGAUGGAUGGAACAACAAAUGAGCAUCCUCGGGCGAAGGCUGACGGAUUCCCUACCAUUCUCUUCUUCCCUGCUGGAAACAAGAGCUUUGAUCCGCUUACUGUAGACACUGAUCGCACUGUGGUAGCAUUAUAUAAGUUCAUCAAGAAACAUGCAUCCAUCCCCGUCAAGCUUCAAAAGCCAGCUUCAACUCCAAAAUCUGAGAGUUCUGAUGCAAAAGGGAGUCAGGAGAGUAGCACCAAGGAUGUGAAGGAUGAAUUGUGAGGAACAGAAAAUUUUACAUACAUUGCUAAUUUAUGUAUCUUUUUAUAUCAUCAAGACAUCAACUAGGCUAAAUCAACAGUUUCAGAUGAAAAUUGUUUGACCAUAGAGGGAUAAUUAUGUCAAAGUAGAGGGAGAAAUAGUUUGAUCAUUUGAAUCCCCCAAAACACCCCACUAGAAAAGGGGAAAGAAAAAAGCCCUCAAAGUAAGGAAGGGAAGCAAGGGACAUAUAUUAGCUUUCAAGUUUUGUUAGAAUAUUCUCGUAAAAGAGUUCUAAUAAAAAGGCUUUGUCCUCAUUUUCCAUUUUCUGCAACAUAGAGGAAUUCUUGAUGUAGUAGUGAGUUGGGGCCGGGUG
rnacentral:misc_RNA from 1 species